CAACAGCCUCUCACUCAUUCACCAGUCUGGGAAUCACUUUUAACCAAUUAGUCCUCUACAGUUAUUUUUUCUGUGAGGUGAAGUUCUCCUUCAGGGUCUCUUCCAAGCAAAUAUUUCAGGACCUGAAAGCUUUUCAGAUCUGAAAGACAUCCUUCAACCAAAUUCAGCUUGAUAAAGGAUUGAAACUGUAAUUAUCUCCCCAAGCUUUAGGUGUAGAAGGAAAGGAGAAGCAUAAGCAUAUCCUUGCCAAGGCUUUCAGGAGGGACAAAAUUAUUUGAGGAAUAAUAUAAGAAGAGAUGAAACAAGCAGUGAUCCUUCCUCAGGUUAUUCUACAUUCUUCAGGAACCUGUAACAGAGAAGCUUUGUAGACCAGAAAUAGUACUACUGCAUUUUACUGAG
ensembl:lncRNA